rnacentral:lncRNA from 1 species
UUUGACAGCAAAGCAUUUACAGACUCAUAUUGACUCUGUAAACCAAAUCGGUAACUCCGCAUCCAUGUGAACGACAAAUGACGAUUGUUUCCUAGCACUGCGUGCUAAGCUAUCCGCCCGAAGGUUCGCCGUCCGAGGUACAUGGACGAUGUCCGAGUUGAGGAAACUUCCUUUGAGAAGCUUGAUGUCUUCCAGAUAGCUUUCGAAUGCUGGUCAUUCUUCUGGUUCUGAAACCAUCUUCACCAA